AAACCCAUGAAAUUUGAUUGAGUUGUGGGAAUGAUGAAAAUGAUGAUGUUAAACCCAUGAAAUUAGAUUGAAUUGUGGGAAUUAUAGAAAUGAUCAUGUUAAACCCAUGAAAUUUGAUUGAAUUGUGUGAAAGAUGAAAGUGUUGGUGUUAAACCCAUGAAAUUCAAUUGAAUUGUCGGAAUGAUGAAAAUGUUGAUGUUAAACCCAUGAAAUUUGAUUGAAUUGUGGGAAUUAUAGAAAUAAUGAUGUUAAACCCAUGAAAUUUGAUUGAAUUGUGGGAAUGAUGAAAAUG
rnacentral:lncRNA from 1 species